GUCUUCGUGGUGUAGAGGUCAGCACGCUCGACGCGUAAGCGAGAGGUCCGAGGUUCAAUUCCUGACGAGGGCA
rnacentral:tRNA from 1 species